ACACGGUAUACCACUGAAUACAGUCGAAUCGUAUCUGACUUUAGUGGGGCCCUAUACCUACGCCCUCCUGAGAUCGAGACGGCACACAAGGGAUGGGACUCCCGGCUCAGUUUAGAUCUGGAGAGGCGGACAAGCUCCCCGCCAGUCCACCACUGCUCCUGCUCGUCGCACUUUUCCGGUUGCCGUCGACUAGCCCACAAUAGAGGAGGCGACCUCCCUUUACCCCGCACCAUCACGGCGCCAGAAGAGGAUGAGCCCCAGGAGCGGCCAGAGAGGAGGAGAAAGAAGAGGGGAAGGAGAUGGAAGUUUCAGAUCCAAAGAAGAAAAUGGAUGAAAAAAAUCUGCUCCUCAAAUUCGCCCAAAGAGUCCUAGAUCGGGGAUGGCCAGAGGAGGAAGACGACGGGGAGCAUAGACACCUCCGGAUCUCCAAUCCGCUUCUCCCCCCGAGGCUGUCGUAAUGCUCCUCGUCUCCAAGAACUCCUCACCAGGCUCCUACCACCAGUCGAGCAGCUUGAGGAAGUACACAGAGUUCUAGGUCGCUCUCCCAAAAAAAUAGUUCUAGGUCGCUGCAGCUCCAUGACCUCGGGGCAUGGCUCGAGGUCGGCCACUAGAUGCUCUUCGUCUUAAAUUUUGGGCGCGAAGACACGGGAAGGCCAGGCAGGAGCAUGACUCUUGUUUCACAUACCCAUCCUCUUCUUUUUCUGUGGAUUGGAAGGGGUUGCGUCUUGAUAAAUUUUGUAUAUUGCAUUCAAGAUUUGUGUUAUGCUCGUUCUUAGCACUUUUCUGGUCAAGGGAAGGUACUAGAGAACCUAGUUCUUAGCCAAAAUGCUUUUCGAGUGAAGCAGACACCAUUGCUUAAAGUAACUGACUUAAUAUUUGAGGAUUUGCAAGCACUUCUUUUAACCAAGAUAAAGUACGUACUUGGUUUCUCAUCACUCCGCACUUUUGUUAUUAUUUCAGUUUUGGUAUUGUUUCACCAGUUUGUUAACUAUGGAAUCAUGACUGAAUUAUUAGUUC
rnacentral:rRNA from 1 species